UACGAAGGGGGCUAGCGUUGUUCGGAAUUACUGGGCGUAAAGCGCACGUAGGCGGACUAUUAAGUCAGGGGUGAAAUCCCGGGGCUCAACCCCGGAACUGCCUUUGAUACUGCUAGUCUCGAGUCCGGAAGAGGUGAGUGGAAUUCCGAGUGUAGAGGUGAAAUUCGUAGAUAUUCGGAGGAACACCAGUGGCGAAGGCGGCUCACUGGUCCGGUACUGACGCUGAUGUGCGAAAGCGUGGGGAGCAAACAGG
rnacentral:rRNA from 1 species